CUACAACUUCCUGGUUGCUCACAGGGAUUUCUCCCUCCCCAAAUUUCUAGUCCUUUGCCGAAAUCUCUAGCUUCUGUCUCUUUUACACUGUACCUUAUAUCCUGGUUAUAUGGGUGCUGUCAUUUGAGCACAGUCUGUGUCCUAUCAAUCUCAGUGUCUGUAGUUCCCAGCAAAAGGGAACUUGCAGAGUAGAUGCUUAAUAUGGGUUUGUUUAAUGGAAUUUGAUUCAAUUCUGUCAUGCUAGUGUGAUGAUGCUUGCUUGGUGGAGAAAAACAUGGCAAACCAUUCCACUAUCUACUCCAGCAUCUUUGCCAAGAAGACCCCAAAGGGAAUGAUGAAAAGUCAGACAAGAAUCAAAACAACUGAAAGCUGAAACUAUACAGAAACUAUUGAAUUAUGGUUUGGCUUACACCUGUCGGAUUGGCUAAGAUGACAGGAAAAGAUAAGGAAGAAUGUUGGAGAGGAUGUGGGAAAACUGGGACACUGAUACAUUGUUCGUGAGACUGUGAACGGAUCCAACCAUUCUGGACAACAGUUCGUAACUAUGCUCAAAAAGUUAUCAAACUGCCCAUACCCUUUGAUUCAGCAGUGUUUCUACUGGGCUUAUAUCCCAAAGAGAUCUUAAAAGAGGGAAAGGGACCUACAUGUGCCAAAAUGUUUGUGGCAGUCUUUUUUGUAGUGGCUAGAAAUGGGAAACUGAUUGGAUGCCCAUCAAUUGGAGAAUGGCUGAGUAAAUUAUGGUGUACGAAUGUUAUGGAAUAUUAUUGUUCUAUAAGAAACGACCAGCAAGAUGAUUUCAGAGAGGCCUGGAGAGACUUACAUGAACUGAUGCUGAGUGAAUUGAGUAGAACCAGGAGAUCAUUACACAUGGCAACAAGAAGACCAUACAAUGAUCAGUUCUGAUGGAUAUGGCUCUCGUCAACAAUGAGAUGAUUCAAACAAGUUCCAGUUGUUCAGUGAUGAAGAAAGCCAUAUACAUCCAAAAAGAAUCCUGUGAAAACUGAGUAUGGAUCACAACAUAGGAUUUUCAUGCUUUCUAUUGAUAUUUGCUUGCAUUUUGUUUUCCUUCUCAAGUUUUAUUUUUCUUUCUAGAUCUGAUUUUUCUUGUUCAGCAAGAUAACUGUAUAAAUACGUAUACAUAUAUUAGAUUUAACAUAUAUUUUAACAUAUUUAACAUUAUUGGACUGCCAUCUAGGGGAGCUGAUGGGGAGAAGGAGGGAAAAAUUUGGAACAGAAAGUUUUUGCGAGGGACACAAUUACCCAUGCAUAUGUUUUGUAAAUAAAAA
rnacentral:lncRNA from 1 species